GAAUUGCGUUAGUGGUUGCAGUGGCAUCCUUUUUGUUGCGCCACAACAAAAAGAUAUAACGGAAAACACGGUACACC
rnacentral:sRNA from 1 species